AGUGAACGUUGGCGGCGUGCCUAACACAUGCAAGUCGAACGAUCCUUGAGUAGCUUGCUAUUCAAGGAGAGUGGCGAACGGGUGAGUAACACGUGGGUAAUCUCCCCUCGAGUGAGGAAUAACCCCGCGAAAGCGGGGCUAAUACCGCAUGAUACUCUGCUUCAUAAGUUGUCAGAGUCAAAGCCCUUCGGGGCGCUUGAGGAUGAGCCCGCGCCCUAUUAGCUAGUUGGUGGGGUAAUGGCCUACCAAGGUUAUGAUGGGUAGCCGGCCUGAGAGGGUGUACGGCCACGCUGGGACUGCGACACGGCCCAGACUCCUACGGGAGGCAGCAGUGGGGAAUUUUGCGUAAUGGGCGAAAGCCUGACGCAGCGACGCCGCGUGGAGGAAGAAGGUUUUCGGAUUGUAAACUCCUGUCAGAGGAGAAGAAAGCCCCCCCUAGGGGGGGUUUGACGGUAUCCUCAGAGGAAGCCCCGGCUAACUACGUG
rnacentral:rRNA from 1 species